AUCAAGUAAUUGGGGAGCUGCUGAAAGCGUGCUGAGAUUGAACUUUGUUAGUUCUGAACCCUUAUAACCUGAUGUAGGUAAUGCUACCGUAGGGAUUUUAGACAAUUAAUCGA
rnacentral:ncRNA from 2 species